GGAAUCUUCCACAAUGGGCGCAAGCCUGAUGGAGCAACGCCGCGUGAGUGAAGAAGGUCUUCGGAUCGUAAAACUCUGUUGUUAAAGAAGAACACGUAUGAGAGUAACUGUUCAUACGUUGACGGUAUUUAACCAGAAAGUCACGGCUAACUACGUGCCAU
rnacentral:rRNA from 1 species